UCAGCACAGUGAUUUCUCUGCCUGCAGAGAGAACUUUCCGAUUCAAUCAUGGCGAACGUACCGAGAUCAUUUUUGCAAGUUGCAGCUAAAGAAGAAGAAGCUGCACCGCCGUUGCGAGUUGUUCAGAUUGAAGGACUGGUCAUUCUGAAAAUAAUAAAGCAUUGUAAGGAGUUUUCCCCAGCUUUGGUCACUGGGCAACUUCUUGGGUUGGAUGUCGGAAGUGUUCUUGAAGUCACAAACUGUUUUCCAUUUCCGGUUCGUGAAGAGGAUGAGGAGAUCGAGGCUGAGGGCGCUAAUUAUCAGCUUGAAAUGAUGAGA
rnacentral:misc_RNA from 1 species